rnacentral:misc_RNA from 1 species
AAAUGCGAUAAGUAAUGUGAAUUGCAGAAUUCAGUGAAUCAUCGAAUCUUUGAACGCACCUUGCGCUCCUUGGUAUUCCUUGGAGCAUGCCUGUUUGAGUAUCAUGAAAUCUUCAAAGUAAAUCUUUUGUUAACUCAAUUGGUUUCUACUUUGGUAUUGGAGGUCUUUGCAGCUUCACACCUGCUCCUCUUUGUUCAUUAGCUGGAUCUCAGUGUUAUGCUUGGUUCCACUCGGCGUGAUAAGUUAUCUAUCGCUGAGGACACUGUAAAAGUUGGCCAAGGUAAAUGCAGAUGAACCGCUUCUAAUAGUCCAUUGACUUGGACAAUACUUUUAUGAUCUGAUCUCAAAUCAGGUAGGACUACCCGCUGAACUUAAGC